rnacentral:rRNA from 1 species
GACGAACGCUGGCGGCGUGCUUAACACAUGCAAGUCGAACGAUGAAGAAAAGAAUUGAAGCUUCGGCAGAAAUUCAUUUCGGAUUAGUGGCAGACGGGUGAGUAACGCGUGAGCAACCUACCUCUUACAAAGGGAUAGCCUCGGGAAACCGGGAUUAAUACCAUCUAACAUUGCGACGAAGCAUUUCGAUGCAAUCAAAGCUACGGCGGUAAGAGAUGGGCUCGCGUCCCAUUAACCAGAUGGUGAGGUAACGGCUCACCAUAGUAACGAUGGGUAACCGGCCUGAGAGGGUGAACGGUAACACUGGAACUGAGACACGGUCCAGACUCCUACGGGAGGCAGCAGUGGGGAAUAUUGCACAAUGGAGGGAACUCUGAUGCAGCGACGCCGCGUGAGUGAUGAAGGAAUUCGUUUCGUAAAACUCUGUUCUAUGGGAAGAAAAGGACUGUACCAUAGGAGAAAGCUCCGGCUAAAUACGU